AAGUCGUAACAAGGUAACCGUAGGUGAACCUGCGGUUGGAUCAUUAAAAGAAGGGUCGGGAUCAUCGUGGUCCAAGUGGUCCGUCCACUUGGACCACGAUGAUACCGGUGAUCCCGGAGGAAGGAAGCAGGGGUGGGUUGCUCUGGCAUCCCCGGCCCUGCUUUUUGUCCCCACGUUGUGUGAGUUUUUUUACUUUUUUUUUUACUUGUCCUCUGGACGCAAAACCAAAGAAAACAACUUUUGGCAACGGAUCUCUUGGCUCUC
rnacentral:misc_RNA from 1 species